GGGUGCUUUCUUAACGGAAAGCCGCAGUGAAUAGGCCCAAGCGACUGUUUAGCAAAAACACAGCUCUCUGCGAAGCCGUAAGGCGAAGUAUAGGGGGUGACACCUGCCCGGUGCUGGAAGGUUAAGGAGAGGGGUUAGCGUAAGCGAAGCUCUGAACUGAAGCCCCAGUAAACGGCGGCCGUAACUAUAACGGUCCUAAGGUAGCGAAAUUCCUUGUCGGGUAAGUUCCGACCCGCACGAAAGGUGUAACGAUUUGGGCACUGUCUCAACCAGAGACUCGGUGAAAUUAUAGUACCUGUGAAGAUGCAGGUUACCCGCGACAGGACGGAAAGACCCCGUGGAGCUUUACUGUAGCCUGAUAUUGAAUUUUGGUACAGUUUGUACAGGAUAGGCGGGAGCCUUUGAAACCGGAGCGCUAGCUUCGGUGGAGGCGCUGGUGGGAUACCGCCCUGACUGUAUUGAAAUUCUAACCUACGGGUCUUAUCGACCCGGGAGACAGUGUCAGGUGGGCAGUUUGACUGGGGCGGUCGCCUCCUAAAGUGUAACGGAGGCGCCCAAAGGUUCCCUCAGAAUGGUUGGAAAUCAUUCGUAGAGUGCAAAGGCAUAAGGGAGCUUGACUGCGAGACCUACAAGUCGAGCAGGGACGAAAGUCGGGCUUAGUGAUCCGGUGGUUCCGCAUGGAAGGGCCAUCGCUCAACGGAUAAAAGCUACCCCGGGGAUAACAGGCUUAUCUCCCCCAAGAGUCCACAUCGACGGGGAGGUUUGGCACCUCGAUGUCGGCUCAUCGCAUCCUGGGGCUGUAGUCGGUCCCAAGGGUUGGGCUGUUCGCCCAUUAAAGCGGUACGCGAGCUGGGUUCAGAACGUCGUGAGACAGUUCGGUCCCUAUCCGUCGUGGGCGUAGGAAAUUUGAGAGGAGCUGUCCUUAGUACGAGAGGACCGGGAUGGACGCACCGCUGGUGUACCAGUUGUUCUGCCAAGGGCAUAGCUGGGUAGCUAUGUGCGGAAGGGAUAAGUGCUGAAAGCAUCUAAGCAUGAAGCCCCCCUCAAGAUGAGAUUUCCCAUAGCGUAAGCUAGUAAGAUCCCUGAAAGAUGAUCAGGUUGAUAGGUUCGAGGUGGAAGCAUGGUGACAUGUGGAGCUGACGAAUACUAAUAGAUCGAGGACUUAACCAUAUAA
rnacentral:rRNA from 1 species